rnacentral:rRNA from 1 species
GGAAUCAUUGGGUUUAAAGGGUCCGUAGGCGGGUCUAUAAGUCAGUGGUGAAAGUCUGCAGCUUAACUGUAGAACUGCCAUUGAUACUGUAGACCUUGAAUUAGUAUGAAGUGGUUAGAAUGUGUAGUGUAGCGGUGAAAUGCAUAGAUAUUACACAGAAUACCGAUUGCGAAGGCAGAUCACUAAUACUAUAUUGACGCUGAUGGACGAAAGCGUAGGUAGCGAACAGGAUUAGAUACCCUGGUAGUCUACGCCGUAAACGAUGGUUACUAGCUGUCCGGCCUAAUUGAGGGCUGGGUGGUUAAGCGAAAGUGAUAAGUAACCCACCUGGGGAGUACGUUCGCAAGAAUGAAACUCAAAGGAAUUGACGGGGGCCCGCACAAGCGGUGGAGCAUGUGGUUUAAUUCGAUGAUACGCGAGGAACCUUACCAGGGCUUAAAUGCAGUCUGACGUAUCUGGAAACAGAUAUUUCUUCGGACAGAUUGCAAGGUGCUGCAUGGUUGUCGUCAGCUCGUGCCGUGAGGUGUCAGGUUAAGUCCUAUAACGAGCGCAACCCCUGUGGUUAGUUGCCAGCACGUAAUGGUGGGAACUCUAGCCAGACUGCCGGUGCAAACCGUGAGGAAGGUGGGGAUGACGUCAAAUCAUCACGGCCCUUACGUCCUGGGCCACACACGUGCUACAAUGGUAGGGACAGAGAGCAGCCACUUCGCGAGAAGGAGCGAAUCUAUAAACCCUAUCACAGUUCGGAUCGUAGUCUGCAACUCGACUACGUGAAGCUGGAAUCGCUAGUAAUCGCAUAUCAGCCAUGAUGCGGUGAAUACGUUCCCGGGCAUGUACAACAAGGUAACCAUGCCAGAGUUUGAUCCUGGCUCUGGAUAAGUCGUAACAAGG